AUAAUGAUACUUCUACAGUUGUUGCCGGCUCAUCUGGAAAAGAGGCGGAGGUGAAAUUCCUAUGU
rfam:Tissierella praeacuta DSM 18095 genome assembly, contig: EK13DRAFT_scaffold00002.2